UACAGAGGUCUCAAGCGUUGUUCGGAUUCAUUGGGCGUAAAGGGUGCGUAGGCGGCGGGGUAAGUUGGAUGUGAAAUCCCGGGGCUCAACCCCGGAACUGCAUUCAAUACUGCUUUGCUAGAGUAUUGGAGAGGAGAUUGGAAUUCACGGUGUAGCAGUGAAAUGCGUAGAUAUCGUGAGGAAGACCAGUGGCGAAGGCGAAUCUCUGGACAAUAACUGACGCUGAGGCACGAAGGCCAGGGGAGCAAACGGG
rnacentral:rRNA from 1 species